rnacentral:rRNA from 1 species
GAUGAACGCUGGCGGCGUGCUUAACACAUGCAAGUCGAACGGCAGCACAGGAGAGCUUGCUCUCUGGGUGGCGAGUGGCGGACGGGUGAGGAAUACAUCGGAAUCUACCUUUUCGUGGGGGAUAACGUAGGGAAACUUACGCUAAUACCGCAUACGACCUACGGGUGAAAGUGGGGGACCGCAAGGCCUGGCGCUUGGAGAGGAGCCCGCGUCCGAUUAGCUAGUUGGCGGGGUAACGGCCCACCAAGGCGACGAUCGGUAGCCGGCCUGCGAGGGCGGACGGCCACACUGGGACUGAGACACGGCCCAGACUCCUACGGGAGGCAGCAGUGGGGAAUUUUUCGCAAUGGGCGCAAGCCUGACGAAGCAACGCCGCGUGGGGGAUGAAGGUCCUCGGAUUGUAAACCCCUGUCGACCGGGACGAAAGUAUCCGACCUAAUACGUCGGCGUAUUGACUGUACCGGUGGAGGAAGCCACGGCUAACUCUGUGCCAGCCGCCGCCGUAAAAC